rnacentral:rRNA from 1 species
UGUGGAAUUCGCCCUUGCGCUACCUGGUUGAUCCUGCCAGUAGUCAUAUGCUUGUCUCAAGGAUUAAGCCAUGCAUGUUCCAGUAUGAGUUUUGAUAUAACGAAACUGCGAAGGGCUCAUUAAAUCGGUUAUUAAACAAUCGAAGGUUAUUAUAUGGUUAUCCGUGACAAUUCUACGGCUAAUACAUGUUUGCCACUUGUGGUGCCUUUAUUUCGACUAUGGCUAACAGCAUCAGCUGGUCGUCCAGAGGAAAUUAUCUGUGCUUAUCGUUUUUCGGAAAGAAGCUUCGAAGUUAUUUCCGCCCUAUCAGCUUUCGUCGGUAACGUAGUGGUUUACUGUGGCGGUGACGGGUAACGGGGAAUUAGGGUUUGACUCCGGAGAGGGAGCCUGAGAAAUGGCUACCACGUCUAAGGAUGGCAGCAGGCGCGCGAAUUACCCAAUCCUAUACUAGGGAGGUAGCGGUAAGAAAUAACAGCAUAGGUAUAUAUUAUUUAUGAUUGGAAUGAAGGGACCGUAGCGUAUUCUAUGAAAGCCAUUGGAGGGCAAGACUGGUGCCAGCAGCCGCGGUAAUUCCAGCUCCAAUAGCGUAUAUUAAUGUUGCUGCAGUUAAAACGCUCGUAGUUGUUGUCCAACUGUCCGCCGUACUUCGUCAGAAGUGUGUCUUUACAGGUUAGCGGAAUUUGCGUUCCGUCAAAACCUUGAGGAAAGAUUAGUGUUCCAAGCAGUUCCACUUUGUCCUCCCCAGCAUGGUAUGUAACCAAACCGAAGAAGUUCUUUGCCAAGCCUUCAUCAUACUAAAUAGAAAUUCAAGGGGGUAUACGUAUUUUAAUGUCAGAGGUGAAAUUCCUGGAUUAUUAAAAGACGAACAAUUGCGAAAGCAUUGACCAAGCGACUUUUCUUUGAUCAAGAACGAAAGUCAGGGGAUCGAAGACGAUCAGAUACCGUCGUAAUCCUGGCCGUAAACUAUGCCAACUUGUCGCAGGUAGAUCUUCCUUCACUUCUAUCGUCGGCUUUUGAGAAAUCAAAGUCUUUGGGUUCUGGGGGGAGUAUGAUCGCAAGUUUGAAACUUAAAGGAAUUGACGGAAGGGCACCACCAGGAGUGGAGCUUGCGGCUUAAUUUGACUCAACACGGGAAAUCUCACCAGCCCCACACAUAAUGAGGAUUGACAGUUUGAUAGUUCUUUCUUGAUUCUAUGGAUGGUGGUGCAUGGCCGUUCUUAGUUGGUGGAGUGAUCUGUCUGGUUAAUUCCGUUAACGAACGAGAUCUUAACCUACUAACUAGAAAUCUUAAGAUUUUCUUCUUAGAGGGACACUUAAUCGUUUAGAUUAGGGAAGUUUGAGGUAAUAACAGGUCUGUGAUGCCCCUAGACGUUCUGGGCUGCACGCGCGCUACAAUAGUACGCACAGCGAGUAUUACCAAGCUCGGAAGGGCAAGGUAAACUAGGGAAAAGGUACUGUAAUUGUUAUAGAUCCUUGUAAUUAUUGAUCUUCAACGAGGAAUUCCUAGUAAGUAUGUGUCAUCAUCACGCACUGAUUACGUCCCUGCCCUUUGUACACACCGCCCGUCGCUCCUACCGAUUGGGCGAAACGAUGAUACUCUCGGAUGAGCAUUUUUAGUGUUUGAAAGAGAUUAGAAUCGAGUCGUUUAGAGGAAGGAGAAGUCGUAACAAGGUUUCCGUAGGUGAACCUGCAGAAGGAUCAAGGGCGAAUUCCACAGU